rnacentral:rRNA from 1 species
UGGGGAAUAUUGGACAAUGGGCGAAAGCCUGAUCCAGCAACGCCGCGUGAGUGAUGAAGGCCUUCGGGUCGUAAAGCUCUGUCGGUUGGAACGAAUAAAAGCCACCUAAUACGUGGCUUUAUGACGGUACCAGCAAAGGAAGCACCGGCUAACUACGUGCCAGCAGCCGCGGUAAUACGUAGGGACCAAGCGUUGUUCGGAUUUACUGGGCGUAAAGGGCGCGUAGGCGGCAAUUCAAGUCAUCUGUGAAAUCUCCGGGCUUAACUCGGAACGGUCAGAUGAUACUGCUUUGCUAGAGUGCAGAAGGGGCAAUCGGAAUUCUUGGUGUAGCGGUGAAAUGCGUAGAUAUCAAGAGGAACACCUGAGGUGAAGACGGGUUGCUGGGCUGACACUGACGCUGAGGCGCGAAAGCCAGGGGAGCAAACGGGAUUAGAUACCCCAGUAGUCCCUGAGCGGGCUGGCAAGGCGCAU